rnacentral:rRNA from 1 species
UACGAAGGGGGCUAGCGUUGUUCGGAAUUACUGGGCGUAAAGGGCGCGUAGGCGGCCUCGUCCGUCCGGCGUGAAAUGCCUGGGCUCAACCCAGGAAUUGCGCUCGAUACAGCGAGGCUAGAGUGUGGGAGAGGUUGGUGGAAUUCCCAGUGUAGAGGUGAAAUUCGUAGAUAUUGGGAAGAACACCGGUGGCGAAGGCGGGUCUCUGGGCCGUUACUGACGCUGAGGAGCGAAAGCGUGGGGAGCGAACAGG